rnacentral:rRNA from 1 species
GAUGAACGCUGGCGGCGUGCCUAAUACAUGCAAGUCGAGCGAACAGAUGAGGAGCUUGCUCCUCUGACGUUAGCGGCGGACGGGUGAGUAACACGUGGAUAACCUACCUAUAAGACUGGGAUAACUUCGGGAAACCGGAGCUAAUACCGGAUAAUAUAUUGAACCGCAUGGUUCAAUAGUGAAGGACGGCUUUGCUGUCACUUAUAGAUGGAUCCGCGCCGCAUUAGCUAGUUGGUAAGGUAACGGCUUACCAAGGCAACGAUGCGUAGCCGACCUGAGAGGGUGAUCGGCCACACUGGAACUGAGACACGGUCCAGACUCCUACGGGAGGCAGCAGUAGGGAAUCUUCCGCAAUGGGCGAAAGCCUGACGGAGCAACGCCGCGUGAGUGAUGAAGGUCUUCGGAUCGUAAAACUCUGUUAUUAGGGAAGAACAAAUGUGUAAGUAACUAUGCACGUCUUGACGGUACCUAAUCAGAAAGCCACGGCUAACUACGUG